AGAGUUUGAUCCUGGCUCAGAACAAACGCUGGCGGCGUGCCUAACACAUGCAAGUCGAACGAGAAAGUUUGCUUCGGCAGACAAGUAAAGUGGCGGACGGGUGAGUAGCGCGUGGAUAAUCUGCCCUUAAGUUGGGAAUAACCCACCGAAAGGUGGGCUAAUACCGAAUAAUACUAUCUUUACUGCGGUGGGAUAGUCAAAGAGAGCCUCUGAUUCAAGCCCUCGCUAAAGGAUGAGUCCGCGUACCAUUAGCUAGUUGGUAGGGUAAUGGCCUACCAAGGCGACGAUGGUUAGCUGAUCUGAGAGGAUGAUCAGCCACACUGGAACUGAGACACGGUCCAGACUCCUACGGGAGGCAGCAGUGAGGAAUAUUGCGCAAUGGGGGAAACCCUGACGCAGCAACGCCGCGUGAGUGAAGAAGGUCUUCGGAUCGUAAAGCUCUGUCGGGUGGAAAGAAAUACAUUAGGGUUAAUAACCCUGAUGUUUGACGGUACCACCAAAGGAAGCACCGGCUAACUCCGUGCCAGCAGCCGCGGUAAUACGGGGGGUGCAAGCGUUGUUCGGAAUUAUUGGGCGUAAAGAGCGUGUAGGCGGCCAGAUAAGUCAGAUGUGAAAGCCCUGGGCUUAACCCAGGAAGUGCAUUUGAAACUGUUUGGCUAGAGUAGGGGAGAGGAAAGUGGAAUUCCUGGUGUAGAGGUGAAAUUCGUAGAUAUCAGGAGGAACACCGGUGGCGAAGGCGACUUUCUGGCCCUAUACUGACGCUGAGACGCGAGAGCGUGGGUAGCAAACAGGAUUAGAUACCCUGGUAGUCCACGCCGUAAACGAUGUUCACUAGGUGUUGGGGGUAUUGACCCCCUCAGUGCCGCAGCUAACGCAUUAAGUGAACCGCCUGGGGAGUACGGUCGCAGACUAAAACUCAAAGGAAUUGAC
rnacentral:rRNA from 1 species